rnacentral:sRNA from 1 species
GCUGGGCAGGGUGGUGUAUGCCUGCAGUCCCAGCUGCUUGGGAAGCUGAAACAGAAGGAUCAAUUGAGCCCAGGGUUUCUGGGUCAGCCUUGGCAAUAUAGCAAAGCCCCAUCUCAU